rnacentral:rRNA from 1 species
AUUGAACGCUGGCGGAAUGCUUUACACAUGCAAGUCGAGCGGCAGCGCGGGGCAACCUGGCGGCGAGCGGCGAACGGGUGAGUAAUGUAUCGGAACGUGUCCUGUCGUGGGGGAUAGCCCGGUGAAAACCGGAUUAAUACCGCAUACGAUCGAGAGAUGAAAGUGGGGGACCGCAAGGCCUCACGCGAAUGGAGCGGCCGAUAUCUGAUUAGCUAGUUGGUGGGGUAAAGGCCCACCAAGGCUUCGAUCAGUAGCUGGUCUGAGAGGAUGAUCAGCCACACUGGGACUGAGACACGGCCCAGACUCCUACGGGAGGCAGCAGUGGGGAAUUUUGGACAAUGGGGGCAACCCUGAUCCAGCCAUUCCGCGUGAGUGAAGAAGGCCUUCGGGUUGUAAAGCUCUUUUGUCCGGGAAGAAACGGUUUCACCUAAUACGUGAGACUACUGACGGUACCGGAAGAAUAAGGACCGGCUAACUACGUGCCAGCAGCCGCGGUAA